rnacentral:pre_miRNA from 1 species
UCUUAUGGAUGAGCAAAGAAAGUGGUUUCUUGAGAUGGAAUCUACACCUGGUAAGAUGCCGUGAA